AUUUUUUCAAAUUUUCUCUUUUAUAAAUGUCAGAUAACGUCACCUUUCUCUUUUCUCUCACUUUUCACUUUAGAGUUAGUUCUUCUACAAUCUUCUUCCCAUGCAAAAUGAGUUAAAUAAUACCACUGUUUGUUCUUCCACAUUCUGCUUCUAACUAUUUUGAAUUUGUUUUUUUUGAGUUCUUCUUUUGGAUCUCUAAAUGAAUAUGAAAGGAUAUGAAGGAAGAAAUGGUAAAGAUUCAGGAGAUAUUGAAUGAACAAAAUGUAUCUAUUGAUGUUUCUAUGGUGCAUUUAGGGUUUAGUUUAUACUUUUUAUUUAUUUUAUGGGUUCAAUUUAUACCUUUUGAUUUUAGGGGUUUCGAUGAAGAAUCAUGUUUUCUGAAUCUUACUUUUUGAUGUUUAGGAUUUAGUUUAUGCCUUUUGAUUUUAUGGGGUUUUCGAUGAAGAAUCGUUGAAGGUAUUCAAG
rnacentral:lncRNA from 1 species